CCGGCAAACGGGUGCGGAACACGUACACAACCUUCCUUUAAGUGGGGAAUAGCCCAGGGAAACUUGGAUUAAUACCCCGUAAUAUUAUAGAGUGGCAUCACUUUAUAAUUAUAGCUCCGGCGCUUGAAGAUGGGUGUGCGGCUGAUUAGGUAGUUGGCGGGGUAACGGCCCACCAAGCCUUCGAUCAGUAACUGGUGUGAGAGCACGACCAGUCACACGGGCACUGAGACACGGGCCCG
rnacentral:rRNA from 1 species